rnacentral:rRNA from 1 species
CCUACGGGCGGCAGCAGUGAGGAAUAUUGGUCAAUGGACGAGAGUCUGAACCAGCCAAGUAGCGUGAAGGAUGACUGCCCUAUGGGUUGUAAACUUCUUUUAUAAAGGAAUAAAACGAGGCACGUGUGCCUUUUUGCAUGUACUUUAUGAAUAAGGAUCGGCUAACUCCGUGCCAGCAGCCGCGGUAAUAAGGAGGAUCCGAGCGUUAUCCGGAUUUAUUGGGUUUAAAGGGAGCGUAGAUGGGUUGUUAAGUCAGUUGUGAAAGUUUGCGGCUCAACCGUAAAAUUGCAAUUGAUACUGGCAGUCGUGAGUACAGUUGAGGUAAGCGGAAUUCGUGGUGUAGCGGUGAAAUGCUUAGAUAUCACGAAGAACCCCGAUUGCGAAGGCAGCUUACUAAACUGUGACUGACAUUGAUGCUCGAAAGUGUGGGUAUCAAACAGGAUUAGAUACCCUAGUAGUC